CAUAGCAAGGGUGGUAAAAAUGCGGAAAAAACCGCCUCCCCCUUUAUAAUCACCCGGGGCCCUAUUGUUUUUAAGGGUUGGGUUUCUCGAGAUUUUUAAUCUUCCCCAUUUAUCUCGCUUUUUGGGUUUUUUUUUUGAGGCCCAAACCCAGAGAUCCUUUGAAAGUUGUAAUUAUUAAUUUGUUACGACGCUGAUUGCAAUUACAAAAGUCUAUGUUUGUCCUAGUGGUGGGCGAACCCACCAAGGAAACAAGAAGUACGCAAAAGACAAGGUGAAUAAUUCAGCAAGGCUGUAACCCCGAGAGAUUCCAGCCCGCUUUCAUAUUUGUGUACACAUAUUUCCGUAGGGGUAACCUGCGGAGGGAUCAUUACACAAAUAUGAAGGCGGGCUGGAAUCUCUCGGGGUUACAGCCUUGCUGAAUUAUUCACCCUUGUCUUUUGCGUACUUCUUGUUUCCUUGGUGGGUUCGCCCACCACUAGGACAAACAUAAACCUUUUGUAAUUGCAAUCAGCGUCAGUAACAAAUUAAUAAUUACAACUUUCAACAACGGAUCUCUUGGUUCUGGCAUCGAUGAAGAACGCAGCGAAAUGCGAUAAGUAGUGUGAAUUGCAGAAUUCAGUGAAUCAUCGAAUCUUUGAACGCACAUUGCGCCCUUUGGUAUUCCAAAGGGCAUGCCUGUUCGAGCGUCAUUUGUACCCUCAAGCUUUGCUUGGUGUUGGGCGUCUUGUCUCUAGCUUUGCUGGAGACUCGCCUUAAAGUAAUUGGCAGCCGGCCUACUGGUUUCGGAGCGCAGCACAAGUCGCACUCUCUAUCAGCAAAGGUCUAGCAUCCAUUAAGCCUUUUUCAACUUUUGACCUCGGAUCAGGUAGGAAACCCUUUG
rnacentral:rRNA from 1 species